rnacentral:rRNA from 1 species
GACGAAGGAUGCAAGCGUUAUCCGGAUUCAUUGGGUUUAAAGGGAGCGUAGGUGGCCUUAUAAGUCAGUGGUGAAAUCCUGUUGCUUAACAGCAGAAUUGCCAUUGAUACUGUAGGGCUUGAGUAUAGUUGCCGUUGGCGGAAUAUGACAUGUAGUGGUGAAAUACAUAGAGAUGUCAUAGAACACCGAUUGCGAAGGCAGCUAACGAAACUAUAACUGACACUGAGGCUCGAAAGUGCGGGGAUCAAACAGGAUUAGAUACCCUGGUAGUCCGCACUGUAAACGAUGAUUACUCGCUGCUAGAGGGCAACUUUUAGUGGCUUAGCGAAAGCGAUAAGUAAUCCACCUGGGGAGUACGCCGGCAACGGUGAA